UGGGGAAUUUUGCACAAUGGGGGAAACCCUGAUGCAGCGACGCCGCGUGAUUUAGAAGGCCUUCGGGUUGUAAAAAUCUUUUCUAUGGGAAGAAAAUGACAGUACCAUAGGAAUAAGGACCGGCUAAUUAAGUGCCAGCAGCCGCGGUAAUACGUAAGGUCCGAGCGUUGUCCGGAAUCAUUGGGCGUAAAGGGUACGUAGGCGGGUAAGCAAGUUAGAAGUGAAAUCCUAUAGCUCAACUAUAGUAAGCUUUUAAAACUGCUCAUCUUGAGGUAUGGAAGGGAAAGUGGAAUUCCUAGUGUAGCGGUGAAAUGCGCAGAUAUUAGGAGGAAUACCGGUGGCGAAGGCGACUUUCUGGCCAUAACCUGACGCUGAGGUACGAAAGCGUGGGUAGCAAACAGG
rnacentral:rRNA from 1 species